AGCUGGUUAGAGCAUCUCGUUUACACCGAGAGGGUCGGCGGUUCGAAUCCGUCGCCGCCUA
rfam:Rhodopseudomonas palustris strain BAL398 c399l4841c224.072922, whole genome shotgun sequence.